rnacentral:rRNA from 1 species
UACGUAGGGGGCAAGCGUUGUCCGGAAUCAUUGGGCGUAAAGAGCGUGUAGGCGGCUCGGUAAGUCCGCUGUAAAAGUCCAGGGCUCAACCCUGGAAAGCCGGUGGAAACUGUCGAGCUAGAGUCCGGAAGAGGCGAGUGGAAUUCCUGGUGUAGCGGUGAAAUGCGCAGAUAUCUGGAGGAACACCGGUGGCGAAGGCGGUCUGCUGGGCCAAGACUGACGCUGAGGCGCGACAGCGUGGGGAGCAAACAGG